UGGGGAGGCAAAGGAAGAGGACAUGCCAACAACAUGUACUGAGUUGCCUAGGAGGUCAACUAGGGAGAGACGUCCACCUGACAGAUUUCAAGCAAGUAUUGUAUGUCAGGUUAAUACAGAACUUUCUAACUUCAAUGAAAUAAAACUGUAUCCUACAAAGGAUCAGGUAGCUUGGCAGGAAGCUAUGAAUAGGGAGUUAAAAUCGUUAAAGGAUUUAGAGGUGUAUGAGGAUGUAAAGUUACCACCAGGAGAGCGUGCAAUAGGUUGCAAAUGGGUGUAUAAGAUAAAGACUGGUGUGGAUGGGACUAUUACCCAUAAAGCAAGAUUAGUUGCUCAAGGAUUUGCUCAGUCAGAUAAGGACUAUGAUGAAGUG